rnacentral:rRNA from 1 species
CCCCUAGAUGUUCUGGGCCGCACGCGCGCUACACUGAACAGUUCAACAAGUCUUAACCUUGGCCGAUAGGUCUGGGUAAUCUUUGAACGCUGUUCGUGACUGGGAUAGACCUUUGCAAUUAUGGGUCUUCAACGAGGAAUUCCUAGUAAACGCAAGUCAUCAGCUUGCAUUGAUUACGUCCCUGCCCUUUGUACACACCGCCCGUCGCACCUACCGAUUGAAUGGUCCGGUGAAAUCUCGGGACGGCGGCUUGGUCGCUUGCGUCCGACUGCUGAAACUUGAUUAAACCAUAUCAUUCAGAGGAAGGUGAAGUCGUANCA